rnacentral:rRNA from 1 species
GCGGGGUAGAGGCCCGCCGCGGUAACGACGGGUAACGGGGAAUCAGGGUUCGAUUCCGGAGAGGGAGCCCCGAGAAACGGCUACCACUUCCAAGGAAGGCUGCAGUUAAAAAAGCUCGUAGUUGAACGUUCGGGUUCCGCGGGACGGGGCCGCCCCGCGAGGGACGGCGCCGCCCCGGGGCUCGUGAUAUCUCAUCUCGCCGCCCGUCGCGAGGCGGACGGAGGGAUGGAUGAGGUUACCUGGAAAAAAUCGGGGCGAUCUAGGCGGGCGAACCUCGCCAACGAACGAUCGGACAUGGGAUAACGGAAGAGGGCGUCGGCUCGACUUCGUCGGUUCCUCGGGCCGAGGCACGUACGGUGAAUAGGGACGGUCGGGGCCGCCCGUACCGGGUCGUGAGAGGUGAAAUUCUAGGAUCGACCCGAGACGAACCGCCGCGAAAGCAUUCGGCAAGGACGCUUUCAUUAAUCAAGAACGAAAGUCGGGGGAUCGAAGACGAUCAGAUACCGUCGUAGUCCGACCGUAAACGAUGCCGACCGAGGGCCCGGAGGAG